rnacentral:rRNA from 1 species
GAUGAACGCUGGCGGCGUGCCUAAUACAUGCAAGUCGAGCGAACGGACGAGAAGCUUGCUUCUCUGAUGUUAGCGGCGGACGGGUGAGUAACACGUGGAUAACCUACCUAUAAGACUGGGAUAACUUCGGGAAACCGGAGCUAAUACCGGAUAAUAUUUUGAACCGCAUGGUUCAAAAGUGAAAGACGGUCUUGCUGUCACUUAUAGAUGGAUCCGCGCUGCAUUAGCUAGUUGGUAAGGUAACGGCUUACCAAGGCAACGAUGCAUAGCCGACAUGAGAGGGUGAUCGGCCACACUGGAACUGAGACACGGACCAGACUCCUACGGGAGGCAGCAGUAGGGAAUCUUCCGCAAUGGGCGAAAGCAUGACGGAGCAACGCCGCGUGAGUGAUGAAGGUCUUCGGAUCGUAAAACUCUGUUAUUAGGGAAGAACAUAUGUGUAAGUAACUGUGCACAUCUUGACGGUACCUAAUCAGAAAGCCACGGCUAACUACGUG